rnacentral:rRNA from 1 species
CUUGGUCAUUUAGAGGNAGUNAAAGUCGUAACAAGGUUUCCGUAGGUGAACCUGCGGAAGGAUCAUUAUUGAAAUAAACCUGAUGAGUUGCUGCUGGCUUUCUAGGGAGCAUGUGCACACUUGUCGUCUUUAUAUCUCCACCUGUGCACCUUUUGUAGAUCUGGAUAUCUCUCUGAGUGCCUAGCAAUUCAGGUUUGAGGAUUGACUUCAUUGUCUCUCCUUACAUUUCCAGGCCUAUGUUUUUUCAUUAUACCCCAAUGUAUGUCAUAGAAUGUAAUAAAUGGGCCUUUGUGCCUAUAAAUCUAUACAACUUUCAGCAACGGAUCUCUUGGCUCUCGCAUCGAUGAAGAACGCAGCGAAAUGCGAUAAGUAAUGUGAAUUGCAGAAUUCAGUGAAUCAUCGAAUCUUUGAACGCACCUUGCGCUCCUUGGUAUUCUGAGGAGCAUGCCUGUUUGAGUGUCAUUAAUAUAUCAACCUCUACAACUUUUGUUUGUUGAGUUGUUGGAUGUGGGGGCUUUUGCUGGCUUCUCUCUGAGGUCAGCUCCCCUGAAAUACAUUAGCGGAACGAUCCCCGUUCAUUGGUGUGAUAACUAUCUACGCUAUUGACGUGAAGUAGUUUGGCUUAUAACAGUCCAUUGACUUGGACAAAAUUUUCAUUAAUGUGACCUCAAAUCAGGUAGGACUACCCGCUGAACUUAAGCAUAUCAAUAAGCGGAGA